CCUACGGGAGGCAGCAGUGAGGAAUAUUGGUCAAUGGUCGGGAGACUGAACCAGCCAAGCCGCGUGAGGGAUGAAGGUACAGAGUAUCGUAAACCUCUUUUGUCAGGGAACAACGGCGGGGACGUGUCCCAGGAUGAGUGUACCUGAAGAAAAAGCAUCGGCUAACUCCGGGCCAGCAGCCGCGGUAAUACGGAGGAUGCGAGCUGUAUCCGGAUUUCUUGGGUUUAAAGGGUGCGCAGGCGUUCUGUUAAGUCAGAGGUCAAAGCCAGGGGCUCAACCCCCGCCCGCCGUUGAAACUGGCAGUCUCGAGUUGGAGAGAAGUAUGCGGAAUGCGCGGUGUAGCGGUGAAAUGCAUAGAUAUCGCGCAGAACUCCGAUUGCGAAGGCAGCAUGCCGGCUCCACACUGACGCUGAGGCACGAAAGCGUGGGUAUCGAACAGGAUUAGAUACCCCGGUAGUC
rnacentral:rRNA from 1 species